CUGCCCAGGUCCCUGACCAACUGGAGACUUCCAGAAAUGCCUUUCUGGCGGGAGGGGGAGGACAGACUGGAGGAAAGUUCCUUUUCCUCUUCCACUUGUACUUAUUGCAGCACCUCCACCUGGCUCUCCUGCGUUCGCCUGUUGAAAUGUCCUUGCUUUGCAGAAAGAGGAGCCUGACCUACCAGCCAGGGCAAGAAUCCCUGUCGCGAAGAGUCUAAAAAGGAUGACUAUACCCAGGAAGGCACCGCGGGGACAAAUAUGGAAAGGCUGUUGAUCAGAGGAAGUCCAGAGUCCCGGCUAGGGACGGCCCGACUCUUCUCCUCCGAACCCCAGAGGGCGCUGUGGCCGUCGGCGGCCACGCGCGGCACGGCGGCGGCGCUCUGUCCCUGCCGGAAUCUUUCUCCUCCACGUGGGGACGCAGGAUGGCGGCCGCAGUGGUGGACGAGACGGCGGCGCCCGACGUGCAGCGGCUGCUAGUGCAGUUCCAGGAUGAGGGCGGGCAGCUGCUGGGCUCCCCGUUCGACGUGCCCGUGGACAUCACUCCCGACAAGCUGCAGCUGGUGUGCAACGCGCUGCUGGCGCAGGAGGAUCCCCUGCCCCUGGCUUUCUUUGUCCAUGAUGCUGAAAUCACCUCCUCGCUGGGGAAGACACUGGAGUCCCAGGCAGUCGAGACAGAGAAAAUCCUAGACAUCAUCUACCAGCCACAGGCCAUCUUCAGGGUCCGAGCCGUGACCCGCUGCACCAGCUCCUUGGAGGGCCACAGUGAAGCAGUCAUUUCUGUGGCCUUUAGCCCCACAGGAAAGUACUUGGCCAGUGGCUCCGGAGACACCACUGUGCGCUUCUGGGAUCUCAGCACAGAGACACCACAUUUCACAUGCAAGGGACACAGACACUGGGUCCUUAGCAUAUCCUGGUCCCCAGAUGGCAAGAAACUAGCCUCAGGCUGCAAGAAUGGCCAGAUUCUCCUCUGGGACCCAAGCACAGGGAAGCAGGUGGGCAGGACCCUUGCCGGACACAGCAAGUGGAUUACGGGCUUGAGCUGGGAGCCCCUCCAUGCGAACCCUGAGUGCCGCUACGUGGCCAGCAGCUCCAAGGAUGGCAGUGUGCGGGUCUGGGACACAACUGCAGGCCGCUGUGAGCGAAUCCUUACCGGGCACACGCAGUCAGUCACCUGUCUCCGGUGGGGAGGAGAUGGGCUUCUGUACUCUGCUUCCCAGGACCGUACCAUCAAAGUCUGGAGGGCCCAUGAUGGUGUGCUGUGCCGGACUCUUCAAGGCCAUGGCCACUGGGUGAAUACCAUGGCACUUAGCACCGACUAUGCCCUGCGCACAGGAGCCUUUGAGCCUGCCGAGGCCACGGUUAAUGCCCAAGACCUGCAGGGGUCCUUGCAGGAGCUGAAGGAAAGGGCCCUAAGCCGGUACAACCUCGUGCGGGGCCAGGGCCCAGAGAGGCUGGUGUCUGGCUCAGACGACUUCACCUUAUUCCUGUGGUCCCCAGCAGAGGACAAGAAGCCCCUUGCACGGAUGACGGGACACCAAGCCCUCAUCAACCAGGUGCUCUUUUCUCCUGACUCCCGCAUUGUGGCCAGUGCCUCCUUCGACAAGUCCAUCAAGCUGUGGGACGGCAGGACUGGCAGGUACCUGGCUUCCCUGCGUGGCCAUGUGGCUGCUGUUUAUCAGAUUGCAUGGUCAGCUGACAGCCGCCUGCUGGUCAGUGGUAGCAGUGACAGCACCCUGAAGGUGUGGGACGUGAAGGCCCAGAAGCUGACCACAGACCUGCCAGGCCAUGCUGAUGAGGUUUAUGCUGUUGACUGGAGUCCAGAUGGCCAGAGAGUGGCAAGUGGCGGGAAGGACAAGUGCCUCCGGAUGAGUCUUAUGAAGGAAUUUGGGGCCUGCCCCCACGAGAUGAAGAUGAGGACCAACUUUAUCUUCUAUUAGACGCAGAGUCUCUGGUCUGAUUCCUCAGUCUGCCGUCUUGAAAGGAGUCUUAUGAAGGAAUUUGGGGCCUGCCCCCACGAGAUGAAGAUGAGGACCAACUUUAUCUUGUAUUAGACGCAGAGUCUCUGGUCUGAUUCCUCAGUCUGCCGUCUUGAAAGCAUUGAAAGAGUCAUUGUAGCACCCCUUUUAUAUAUUGAGUGUCCUGCUGCAUUUGGGAAUGUGCUGAAGAUUACUAAUCUGUGGUCAAAUCUAGGCUGCAGCAGGAACGAGGCAGAGAAAAGCUGAAGUAUCACGGUGCCGUGUGUGCCCAGCAACCUCACACGAGUAUCCAUGAAAUAUAAAUCAAGAGUAAAGAAUUCUUUAAAGGAGUCUACAUCUGGUAUAAGAGCAUAGAAUUUCAUAAAGCUAUGUUCCCUGCAUAUACAGGGAAAGGUCAGGAAAGAAGGGUUUCUGAGUGCCCAGUGGAAGGUGUGCACCCCUGCAGCUGACCUCUGCUCCCCAGCUCUGCUCAACCGGAGCCCACAGGGCAGCACUCUCAGCUAGGUGUGUCUGCUUCUGGGGUCCAAAGAUCAAAGGGAUCAGUAGGGGAUGACGGGAGGGAAGGCCGGGUGGAACACAGCCCAGCCGGAUGUGUAGUCACGAAAAUUCCAAACCCAAGACUGGCUCUUUCUCCUUCGGGGUUUCUGGAAGAUGACUAUAUCUACCAACGAGCCAGCCUCCACUCCGCUUGGCUAACCGUUUGAACAGAAGUGAAUGUGCUCCAACGUGGGUGCGGCCUUGGGAACCCAGCAGAACAGCCCUCUCUAAACAACCCAACCGGUCAACCUCAUAGAGCUGAUACAGGUGAACCUCAGCGGGACAUGCCGAGCCAGCCCCCCACCCCUCUCACCGUGCAUCCAGGAGCUUGGGGUCCAGCGGAGGGUACAUGGACUUCACGACAUCGUCCACUCUGAGGGGAGACAAAAGUCAAAUAUUUCACUUUAUUUCCUUUUCUCCUUCUCUCCUGUCUGCUGAUAUUCCAGGCCCACUCAGUGGUUCCUUCCCUCCUGCUUCUGCAUUCUCCUGUCUCCUUACACCGGGAAGAAGUAGAAUUAGGGAGCACUCCACUUCCCAGAUCAUCUGAGUUUGCAGUAUUUUAACUUUCACAGGCACUUACUACUUUUGUGUUUGGGGCAGAGUGUGGGAGAUGUGGCUUAAGGCACACAGAACACUAAAAAACAAAGUCACUAGUUUAAUUUGAGUUCAAACCGCUCCAUUGCUUUUCUUUUACCACGUGCUUCAAUCCAUGGCUAAGUUUUUAAAAUCAGGUUCUGAUUUGUGGGGUGCAAGGUUUUGCUCCAAAUCUUUGCUCAUGGACCGCUUGAUAGUCAGGUAGGAAAAAUAGACAUAUUGAUUUCUAAAAGCACUUGAAAAAAGACACCCUCAUUCUCACUGGGGGCUGAGGGGAGGGGAGGAAGCACAGAGGCAGCCUCAGGCCUGUCUCAGCCCCUUCCCUUGUGAUGCCCAGAACAGAAGCUGAUCUCUUUUAAAUCAUUCACCAUCCAAACACCCUGGAAUAAAAGGAGCAGGAAAGACAAUGGGGAAGAAAAUCAGCCAGAAGAAGUGUGAUGGCAAAAAGACAAAGCAUGGGCCCUGGGCACAGGGUGGGUGGGUGCCAUCCUCCUGGCCACGCUGCACCCUCACUUUGGUCUAUGGCUAAUCCACUCACCCUUGGAAAUCCCCAUGUCCUUCCCCUCCUAGCCCCUCCUAAAAGGCUGCCUUAUAACCUCUGUCACAGGGACCAUCAAGCCCUCGAAGUGGCAUAAAAUACGAGGAAGGGUUCAGCAGAUAUGAGCAAUGCAGUCCCUAAAAAUAAUGGGUGACCAGUAAGAAUGUCCGUCGGGCACUUUCUCAGAACCCAAGUGAGAGUUUUAAGGCCAUGGCUGGCCAAGGCUCAUACACGUGGCUACUCCCACCAAGGCAAGUCCAGAGAAAGUCCAGAGCUUUCUGACCUGAGUCCCUCCCUGGAUUCCUUCCUUCCUUCUUUCUCAACUCACUGACUCCUUGGACUGAGUGUAAAAUACACCAAGUCAAGCGUCCCUCGGAAGACCUCAUAGGGUGUCCGCCCACAGGGCGCAGCAGCUGGGUAGUUUUUAUUUGUUGGGGUUUUUUGUUUUGUUUUGUCUUGUUUGUUUUUGAGGCAGGGUAUCCCAGUUUUUGAACUUGCAAACAGGUUGGCCUUGAACUUUUGAUCAAGCUGGAAUUAAAGUAAAGUUCGCAUUACAAGCGGGUGCCGAGCGCACCCUCUCCCAGCCGCUGCCCCUAGCUUCUCACUCGGUUAAUUUUGAGGAUGGUAAAGGGCUGGUUCCUGGUGAUUUAGCAGAGGCCUUGGCAACAAAGAAAGCAAGGUCUCUGGAACUCAGGGAAUGGCCAACUGACAACUGAGUUGGGUCAUUGCUGGGAUGAGGCACGUCCACAUACCAGCCACCAGAUGGCGACACAAACUUAGUACAGCCCUUUGCUCUAAGAAAAGGACUUUUCUCUUUGCAAAAGAGAACCCAAAUGAGGGGGAGUCGUUGUUGACUGCAGUCUGCUGGUUGCCUCCCACGUGGGAUUCUGCAGACUGCCUGGAAUCUGGGAGGUCUGAAUGCUGUGGUUCACCCGCCCACCCCAUCCUGGAGGUUGUUGGCUGGGCUGUGCAUGCGGGCAGUGAGGUCCACUGUGGCAACAAGGAAGGGGUCCCCAGGACAGACCCAGGCUGGACACAGGGCAUGGCCAGGAGGUCACUGGAGACAGAGGUGUGGGCACCACUGGGAAAUGCACUUGCUGGCUUCAGCAGCACCUGGGAGGGUGGAGUAGCAAGAGAAGGAGCCGGAGCAGCCACCACAGAGCUGCAGAACAGGCUGUGGAGACCCAUCUCACUGGGCUGCUGAAUAGGGCUGGCAGCAGCCAGGCAUGCUGGGGAUGGCGAUCACAGGUGACCAUCUUGACCUGGGAGUCCCUCUUUCUAAACCCUCCUGGCUGCCAGGGAAAUAUUGGGAUGCAGAUAACAGAAGUUGCCCACCUACUGCUUCUUAUCGGAGCCCAACCCUGCGGUCUCCCUGGGCUUCUCUCAUGAAGUACGGAGACUUCAAGGCCACCGAUCACUCACCUGGGGCUGAUCCGCUUGGCCACCACGAUGAUGUCGCUGACACUGGCAGAAGUCUUCAUCUUGGCCCCAGAGCCCAUAGUCAUGGCAACGAGUUUUUCCGUCAGAGUGUGACAAAUCUAAUGUGGCAGGGAGGACAGAAGUGACGAGGAGCGGCUGGUCCCCUCCGAGGACUUUUUUUGUUGUUGUUGACUGCAGUCUGCUGGUUGCCUCCCACGUGGGAUUCUGCAGACUGCACACCCCCCCACCCGGGUGCCACCACACAGCUGAACCCCUCCCCUAGUGAGUUUAAGUGAGCAGCUCACAGAGGGCAGAGGAGAUGGGUGGUGGGGAACCUCGGAGCAAGGGGGUGCUUCAGCUCAGAGGAGUCUAAGCUGAAAUAAUCCCUCUAAUAAAAAUCAUGUGCUCUGAUUUCACCUUC